AAGACGCCGAGCUCGGAGCCUGAACUG
rnacentral:piRNA from 1 species